UAAAGGAGAGAUCCGGCAUAGGAUGGACAUGCGUCGCAUUAGGUAGACGGCGGGGUAACGGCCCACCGUGCCGACGAUGCGUAGGGGUUCUGAGAGGAAGGCCCCCCACACUGGUACUGAGACACGGACCAGACUCCUACGGGAGGCAGCAGUGAGGAAUAUUGGUCAAUGGCCGAGAGGCUGAACCAGCCAAGUCGCGUGAGGGAAGAAUGUCCUAAGGAUUGUAAACCUCUUUUGUCGGGAAGCAAAAAGGCUCUGCGGAGUCGUAUUGAGAGUACCCGAAGAAAAAGCAUCGGCUAACUCCGUGCCAGCAGCCGCGGUAAUACGGAGGAUGCGAGCGUUAUCCGGAUUUAUUGGGUUUAAAGGGUGCGCAGGCGGCGUGUCAAGCAAGCGGUAAAAUAGCGGGGCUCAACCCCGUCGAGCCGUUUGAACUGGCGCGCUUGAGUUCAGGCGAGGUAGGCGGAAUUCGUGGUGUAGCGGUGAAAUGCAUAGAUAUCACGAAGAACUCCGAUUGCGAAGGCAGCUUACCAGUCUGCGACUGACGCUCAGGCACGAAAGUGUGGGUAUCGAACAGGAUUAGAUACCCUGGUAGUCCACACAGUAAACGAUGAGCGCUAGGUGUCCGGGUCGCAUGAGACUUGG
rnacentral:rRNA from 1 species